ACUCAUGCCAGCAUGGACAAUGGACAUUAAAUGAUGAUGAUGUUGAUGAUGAUGAUGAUGAUGAUAUAUAAGACCCUCUAUUAUGAAGUAUUACAGAGUUUAUCACACUUCUGUGACCUGUCCACAACCACAAUUCCACUCAGUCACUUGUCAAACAUCUCCAAAAGAAAAUUGUCUUCAGGCUUGUAAGUGCUGGUACCACAAAA